GAUGAAGAACGCAGCGAAAUGCGAUAAGUAAUGUGAAUUGCAGAAUUCAGUGAAUCAUCGAAUCUUUGAACGCACAUUGCGCCCCCUGGUAUUCCGGGGGGCAUGCCUGUCCGAGCGUCAUUACAACCCUCAAGCUCAGCUUGGUGUUGGGCCCCGCCGCCCCGGCGGGCCCUAAAGUCAGUGGCGGUGCCGUCCGGCUCCGAGCGUAGUAAUUCUUCUCGCUCUGGAGGUCCGGUCGUGUGCUUGCCAGCAACCCCCAAUUUUUUUCAGGUUGACCUCGGAUCAGGUAGGGAUACCCGCUGAACUUAAGCAUAUCAAUAAGGGAGGA
rnacentral:misc_RNA from 1 species